UCAGCUCUCUUUGCCUUUUGGCUUAGAUCAAGCGCAGUAGCUGUUCUUUUUAGUUUAAUCUCUAGAACGCCCCUACGGGGGCAAAUCUUUUGAUUAAACUAGUUUUUGGAACCCGUCCCGGGCCCGCUGGGCUCAGCCUAUGAUCCGGGACACGGUGUCGCCUCUAUUGCACUGCCUGAGGCUGACGCGACUCUCU
rnacentral:snRNA from 1 species